GGCAAGGUGGCCGAGCGGUCCAAGGCGUCAGGUUAAGGUCCACCUUAAUAUUCAGCUUCUUAGCCAAGCUUCCUGAUCAUCGUAAGAUGGCGUGGGUUCAAAUCCCACCCUUGUCA